rnacentral:rRNA from 1 species
CAGGUCUUGACAUCCUUUGACAAUCCUAGAGAUAGGACUUUCCCUUCGGGGACAAAGUGACAGGUGGUGCACGGUUGUCGUCAGCUCGUGUCGUGAGAUGUUGGGUUAAGUCCCGCAACGAGCGCAACCCCUAUUGUUAGUUGCCAGCAUUCAGUUGGGCACUCUAAUGAGACUGCCGGUGACAAACCGGAGGAAGGUGGGGAUGACGUCAAAUCAUCAUGCCCCUUAUGACCUGGGCUACACACGUGCUACAAUGGAUGGUACAACGAGCAGCAAGACCGCGAGGUCAAGCGAAUCUCUUAAAGCCAUUCUCAGUUCGGAUUGCAGGCUGCAACUCGCCUGCAUGAAGCCGGAAUCGCUAGUAAUCGCGGAUCAGCACGCCGCGGUGAAUACGUUCCC